GUGUCAGCCGCCGCGGUAAGACGUAGGGCGCGAGCGUUGUCCGGAUUUAUUGGGCGUAAAGAGCUCGUAGGCGGCUCAUUGCGUCAACCGUGAAAACCAGCAGCUCAACUGUUGGCUUGCGGUUGAUACGGGUGGGCUGGAGUUCGGUAGGGGAGACUGGAAUUCCUGGUGUAGCGGUGAAAUGCGCAGAUAUCAGGAGGAACACCGGUGGCGAAGGCGGGUCUCUGGGCCGAUACUGACGCUGAGGAGCGAAAGCGUGGGGAGCGAACAGGAUUAGAAACCCUAGUAGUCC
rnacentral:rRNA from 1 species